AGGCGAGCAGUAGGGGUUCGUGGCGGGCGGCAAUGGGGACGCAGGGGGCUGGGCGGAAGCGGCUCCCCAACCGGGAGCGGCUGACGGCGGAGGACGAUGCGCUCAACCAGAUCGCCCGGGAGGCUGAAGCAAGACUCGCAGCAAAGCGAGCAGCACGAGCUGAAGCACGGGAGAUCCGAAUGAAAGAACUUGAGAGGCAGCAGAAGGAGAUCUAUCAGGUCCAAAAGAAAUACUAUGGUCUGGAUACAAAGUGGGGUGACAUCGAGCAGUGGAUGGAAGACAGUGAGCGUUAUUCUCGUAGAUCCAGAAGAAAUGCUUCGGCUUCAGAUGAAGAUGAGCGCAUGUCAGUGGGUAGCCGUGGAAGCCUGAGGGUUGAAGAAAGGCCAGAAAAAGACUUUGAGAAGGGAGUUCGUACUGUGUCAAGCUUAUCAGCAGCUACACUAGCAUCUCUGGGUGGAACUUCCUCCCGGAGAGGCAGUGGGGACACCUCCAUCUCCGUUGAUACUGAGGCAUCCAUUAGAGAAAUUAAGGAUAUCAAUGAGUUAAAGAACCAGAUUCAGGAUGUAGAAGGCAAAUACAUGCAGGGAUUGAAAGAAAUGAAGGACUCCUUAGCAGAAGCUGAAGAGAAAUAUAAAAAGGCUAUGGUGUCUAAUGCUCAACUAGACAAUGAGAAAACCAACUUCAUGUACCAAGUCGAUACCUUGAAGGAUGCAUUGUUAGAGUUAGAAGAACAGCUGGCAGAAUCCAGGAGGCAAUAUGAAGAGAAAAGCAAAGAAUUUGAGCGGGAAAAGCAUGCUCAUAGCAUAUUGCAGUUUCAGUUCACAGAAAUCAAGGAGACCCUGAAGCAAAGAGAAGAAAUGCUCGAGAAACACGGAAUAAUCCCAAACUUGGAAGUAGACACCAAUGGAGAGGCUUUAGAUGGUCUCGAUAAUGAAGCACAUUCAGAUUCUACCAAGAUUACUCCAGGAGCAACUCAGAUCCUACAGACAGCUGGGGAUGGGACACUAGGCAGAGCGAAUGAAGUGGAGAUGAAAGAUGAGAUUUUGGAGGAUGUGGGGAAAAGAGAAAUCUUGCAGAAUACUGAGCAUGAGGAACACAAAGAGGAGUCUGAGGAACGGGAAAUUGUAAAGGAGUGUACGGAAAUAAAGACAUUGCAUGCUGAUGAAAAUACAGAGGCAGAGAAAACCAUGGAAGACGAUGAUGUCACAUCAACAGUGAUGUUAAGUAGUGGACGUGAGGAACAAAUUCAAAGCCACACAGGACAUGUUUCAGGAAAUGUUUCUUCCACUGAAAAUAGUGAUGUAAUUGAGUCGAGAAAGGAAACAGAAUCAGGAGAUGAUAGCAUAGGAGCCCAACAGUCUGGUAGUAAGGAAUCUGAACAUAGUAGUGAUUUAAAUCACUUGACUAAUGAGAAUGGGGAAACAGGUACACUGCAAAGUCAGGGCACUGAGACUCCUCAGGGAAUACCUACUGACUUAGACACAGAGCAUGAAUCUGAAAGAGUUGCACAAGAGCAGAAAGUAAAACAAGAGGAUUUUACAAUUUGCCAGAGAGAAGGCAAUAUUGAAAUAUUUCAGGAAGCUCUUGAUUUUGUGGUUAGCAGCCAUGCGUCAGCUUCUGAUCAGUCGGGAUCACCAGAAGGUGCAAGAGCAGGUAUAGGUAUUGAAGAAUCACAUGUGGAGGUUCACACUGAAAGUCUCUGUCAAGCAGAAGAAAGCACUGAAAAUGAGGUUAUGAGUAGCUUGGAGAAACAGCUUGAUGAAGAUGAAGGGUGCAUAGACAGAACAAUUAGUAAAGUAGAGAGUGGUAAAAAUGAGAGUGAUACAGCCGAAGAAGAAAAUAAGACUGGAAAUACAGUUCCAAGUCAGGGAAAGAAAGAAGUAGAUUCUGUGGAAGGGGAGGGAGAAGCAGCAUGUGAAAGUGAGGUCACACCAAAUACAAUUGUAAAGGAACAAAAACCAGAUGAAACACAUACUGUGUCUACUUUUUCAAAGAGCGAUCUGAUAUUAGCAGAAGAGGAAGGAAAUAUGCAAGAUGAGGCAGAGAAUGAGAAGGAUAUUAUUGGGAGGGGACAAACAAAAGACAUAGGAAAGAUGGAAGAAUUGACAGGCAUUUUGGACAUACAACCAGAUUCUGAAAACAAAAAGGUGGAAGAGGAGGAACGUGUGGCAUCCCGAGAUGAAUUUGCAGAGAUAAAAGAGGAUGUAUCGCAUCAGAGAGGGCAGGACCAAGAUGUCAUGAAAGAAAGUCAAUCCCAAGAAACUAUUUUAGUUCCUAGUCCCAGCGAUCAUGAAAUUGAGGAGUCAAACACAGAAAUGUGGGAUGAAUCUAGGAAAAGAAAGGAAAGCAGAAGUGAGUUGAUGGAAGAUGAGAGAACACAGGUAGAAACCCAAACAAUUAAGUACGGAGAAGAAAUAAAGAAUAAUCCAAUACAAGAAAAAGAUAAGACUGUAGAAAAUGAAAUGCAGAAAGUAGUUAAACAAGAGGAAGAUGAAUCUAGACAGGAAUUGACUCAAGAUGUCAGUGUAAUUAUUGAAGAGAAAGUUGAUGAUAAAGAGGUACUAGUGGAAAGUAGCGAGAAGCUGGAUCUUCCAGACCAGCAGCAUGAUAGAUUCGUUUCUGAUGAUAGUUCAUUGCAGAAAAUCACUAAACUAUCGCAGCAACUUAGUGAAUCCCUUGAGGGCAACACAAAGGAAACGGAAGUUCAGAACACUGUGUUAGAUGAUGCAUGUCAACUUAGCAGAAAAGAAAGGGAUACAAAACAGAUGGGAAGUGGGAAUGAGGAAGAUGAAAAUAAAGAAAUAGAAGAGCAACAUGAAUUUCAAGAAGUUAAGAAAUUGGAAGUUGAUCCACAGGUUGAGGAAGAUGCUGAUAACCUCAAGACACAGAAAGCAGAGCUGGAUGAGAAGCCUAAUGAACAAGUUGAGGUGGAGGGUCAAGAGGAGGAAAUAGUGGAAGAUGAUAGUAAAAAAAUUGAUUUUGAUGACGAAUUAGGGCAGAUAUUAAAAACUCCUGGAAAGCAUGAUGCUGAGAAAGUUAAUACACAAAUGUUGGAAGAAGUUAGGGAAAAGGAAAUAGUCACAGAAACUGCCAAAACAGAAAAAAGUGAAAAGGAGGAAACUCAUCAAAGCGGAACACAGAGUGUAGAGAAUGAGGGCAUGGUUACUGAAGGCAGUGCUAGUAUCCAGCAGGAAAAAGAAAAGGAAGCCGAAGAAGCUGCUCAUUUGCAAACUGAUGCAUCUCAGUCUGCAGCUCCAGAAAAAGCAUGUGAUCUGGUGGAGGAUGAAACUGAAAAUGAAAAAGUGUUAGACAGCAAUGUUAUGGAAAAAAUAGCUGAUGGAUAUUCAUCAGAACAGGAGCUAGGAAAUGUAGGCAACACUAGGGAUGAAAGCAAAGAGGAUAUGCAAGCUAGUAGAAGGGGCAAGGGUAGAUCUAAAGAAGACUGUAUGAUAUCAUGAGUUCAAAAUCUAGGACCCAAAUAAGUUACAUACCAUUCUAUCGGUUUCAGUACAAAAAUGCAUUUUGCACAAUAAAUCAGACUUUAGAAAUACUCCUUAAAGUUUCUCUGUAUGCAAGUCUCAUAGUACAAUGUCAAUCUAUAUAUAUGGACAUCCAUCCAAGUUAUUUACUGUGAUACAUGUUCACCAGAGAUUAAACGUGUAGAUUUGUUUUUAAUCUCUCAGGUUUCAUAUUUUAUCACCAAAAGAACAAGCAGCACAAAUGUACUGUUCAGGUUCAUGUCUAGUUAAAAUGCUUUGAAGGCAGAUAUUUCCUACCAAGAGACCUUAAAUACUGCUCUUAUUUUCUAGACUAGUUUUAGCAAAUUAGAUAUUUUGAAUGUACUUAAAUACCUGCCAUAGGUCUCUGUUAGGUACAUUACCGCUUCAUGGUCAUAAAGCAACUCUAAAGUAUUACAGCACUGUAAUAAUAUCCAAACUUCUUUGUGAAUAGCUAAAGAUUCCGGAACCAAAUAUCACUGCUAAUAUAAUACCCACUUUUUGUGUGAUUUUAGUAUGAACACAUUCCAAAGCCUGGUAUAUAAGAUAAACACAUGAAAUGCCAAAAUAUUAGUUAGGUCACUAUGAAUCUGCUUAGUCUGCACACUUUGAAAGAACAGUAUAGGGUUUAAGAAAGUAAAACUUGUUAGUCUUCUGAAAGGAAUAAGUGUAUUCAUGUUUACUUAAUCUAGGCACUUUGCACCAGAAUAAGCCUUCUACAUCAUGUCUCACGUGUGCUUUUUUAUUUUUUUUUUAGGAUUGUUUUGGUACACACACAGUGUGUAGAUUUUCUGUCAAGUACAUUUUAUUGCAGUUAAUAGUAUGAUAAAAUAUCUAUUUUUCUUAGAGGAAAGUUUGUUUAAAUUGCAUUUCCUUAUUGCACUGUCUUUUUUGCGAAAAUAUGGUUAGGAAAGAAUGUUUUCUUAUCUCAGUAUGUACUUUUUUCCUUCCUCCUUGCCAGGAUGAAGUCAAUUUUGAAUGUCUUAAUCUUUUUGAAUGUCUUAAUCAGAUAACUGGUAUUGCUCUUUAUGUACUAGUGCCCAUAUAGCCAAACCUGCCUUUUUGAAAAUCUUUCUCAACAGCUAGAUUGUUUGUGAUAGCCUGAAUAUAAACAGUAGAGAUGUAUGUCUUUUAUUUGCAAGUUUUAAACCAGCUGGAAAGAAAUGUGUUUUUUGCAAGAGAAAACGUUCUUUUAAACUUGUUUUAAGCAAUGAAGUUGAUGCAAACUCAAGGUUUUGAGUGGUCUAUAGCAAGAUAUUGCUUGUAUUGCUGUUACAAAAUUAGUAGAGUGCAAAUAGAUUGAAAAGAUUCAAGAUGUAUAUCACAAAUGUACUGAGCUGUAUAUAAUUGAAAUAAACUUAUUUUAUACUUUAAAAUACCUGUCCAAAGCACUACUUGCAAACCUGCAUAAAAUUCAAUCUAAACUGAUGAGAGAUUCUAAAAGCUUUUUUUGUAAAAAGGCAUUGCACAGUGACCUCUCAAACACUUUAUGUAUUAUAAUUUCCCUAAAUGUCUAACUUAUUUCGUAUUGACAAUUUUUCCUCCAUGCUCGUUAUAGAUAGUAGAAUUAAUGUGAUAUAAUUCUGCUAAGAAACCUUGACCUCCACAUCCCAGGAAUUUAACAUGAUAUUGCAUGAGUCAGUAAUUUUAAACCUACAGUGCCUUUUACAUGGCUUCCUUUCUGACACUGUGAUGGCAGCUUUGGUGCAGUUUCUGUGAAAAUGCACAAUCCUUAAGUUGAGGACAAUAAAUGUUAGUAUUGGAAUAUAAUCAUUAUUAUAAUAAUCUGAUGAACUGCUACAGGUCUUCAAAGCACCUCUUACUGUAUAGCACAGUUAACUAGUAUGAAGAUUUUUUCAUUGCUUGAAUCUCAAAUGGAAUAUAAAUAAAUGUGCUAAUUAGACUUUGUCAAUUAGGAAAUCAUUUAUAAUUAGAUAUAUGUUAGAAUGAUGCCUAAUCCACUGAAGCAUAUACCAGCACUUGGUAUGUCUGGAGACAACUUGUUCAUAAAGAGAAAUGUAAUUUAAAUAUUUCUGAGAUAAUUAUGGGGAAGUUAAUAGUGGUUUUUCAGCAUGUGCACACCUGUAAGAAUUUUUUAGAAUAUUUGUACAGGGCCAGGGAAACAGAUACAAUGAUGACUCAUUUAAUGACUCGGUCAUAUUGUCGUCUUCUGUUUUUCCAAACUUAGGCUGUGUCUUCACUGGGUAUUUGCCAUGAUUUCAGCAUUCAGUGUCCAGCCAUCAAUGUAGCAGAGUUUUACUGGUGUAGCUACCUCUGUGACUGGCCACCAGUUGCUGAAAUCAGGGCAAAUACCUAGUGUAGAGAAGGCCUCUGAGUUCUUAGGUCAUUUUCCAAUGUGAAUUUCCACUCAUUUUUGUAUGUAUGCUUUGGGUUAUGUGCAUUGCAUGAGUGUGGUUCCAUGCAGGCAAAUCAUCUUGAAAAGAACCACAGAUAAUAGGGAAAAAUGGUUACUUACCAGUCCUCCAAGAUUACACAGAUGGCACUCAGCAAAAUGUGUACUGGCAUAUCGGAAACAUGACUUCCCAUGUAAUAAUGCCAAAGAUUAGAAAGUAUGCAACUGAAAAUCAGAUUCUUUGGUGUGAUACUUCCAUAGUACAUAACAGCUCACGCUUAUAGCUACAACUGCUUUUAGCUGUGGAGGUACCCUGGUCAAUCCCAUAUGAUGGCAGCUGUCACAGAUGGACAAAGUAAUCAGAUAGUUUAAUUAUAGUGGACUUGAAUCAUCCUUCAGUCAACCAAAGCACAAAUUUGUGAAGGAAACUCAUUGACUCUAAUGAAAUUCGUGUCAUGUCUGUAGUUUCUUUUGCAUGUGGGGCUAUUAAGUGAUGAGAGCUAGCCUUUGGGGCCCUCCAAAGCCAGUGGCCAAUGACUCCAGUUUAUCUGGGUAUCUAGCAAUGGCAGUGCUAUUCUCAGCUUUCAUAUUUUAAAAAAAAAAAAAAGUUCCUAGUACUCAUCUGUCUAAAACUAGCCUUGAAAAUUAGUCUCUGAAAUUCUCCUGAAGAUUCAUGGCUUACUUGCAGUCUGCCACCACCACCUUUUAGCUGCCACGCUGGCCUUUUGUGUCCACGUAACCCAUGGUUUGGGUAUGGUCCCAAUCCCAAAUCAGUUGACAGGUCUGGGGAAGCAGUACUGCCCAUGCUGCUACUGAUGGCACUAGGACUCCUGCAAGUUCUCCCACUUGGCUUCUUGCAACUGACCAGCUACACUGCUGGGCAGCCACAGCGACUUCUGGCCACAACUAGGAUCGUUGAAUAGCAUGAGACAAAGCAUAGGUUAAAUGUGGGAUGGAAAGCAAAGGUCUCCUGUAUCCAUAUCUCAGCUCUGGCACUCUCUGUAUAGCCUUUGUCAAGUCACAAACUCUGUUUUAGUUUUCACCAUCAACAAAAUGGGAUAUGCUUUAUCUGUAAAGUAGGAAACUAGCUACCACACAUAAAAGGCACCCUCGAAUUCAGUAGACUUGGGUUAUAAUCCUAGUGCCCCUCAGACAUUCGACUUGUUAGAAAACCCCAAAAUUUCAAAAUAAAAAUAUAGUGGGUUUGUGGAUUUUUCUUCACAGACCCCAGUAAAAGCUCCUUUUUUAUGUGUGUGAGGAGGAGUGGAAGGGGAGAACCUAAAGAACUCUUUUUAUACACCCCCCUGACACACAUAAUUUUGUUUGUACCUGGAAGAACCAUUUUACUUGCCCUCCCCCAAAUCCUCACACCUGCAUGAGAUUCAUGUGAUUGAAGUAGUCGGGAGUCCAUUAUGUUGUGGGAAGUGAUGAGAGAAACUGCUUUGCAGAUGCCCCCCAAAAUUGCAAAGGGCAACUCUAAAAAUAACUGACAAUUGUUUUUAUUCUGGGAACUGCAGAUAUAUAUUUCAAACACAAAAGGUAUAUGUUACCAUACUGUAAAUACUGUGGUAGUUGUGUAAUAAUUAUAUGUAUAUAUUUGUUCAUGGUUAAUUUAGCUUCCAGAAUUAAAUGGAUCAUUUGGCAGGUGUCACUAACUUUAAAAUGGGACAUUCUGCCCUAAAUUAAACCUCAUUCUUUAGCAGUUUGCUUUCUGGGUCGUCUUCUGAGGUUUGGCUUCCAACUCUGUCUCUAGCCUUGAAAUACUUUUCCUUGUUCUUCUAUUCUUUGGCUUUAUUUCCAUUUUUCCUCUGUUUUCCUUCUUUAAGCAGAGUAUUCUGCUCUCCACCUCCCUUUGCUUUUCGGCCACUGUUUAUGCACAUGCAUAUGUGUUUCAAACCAAGUUAUUUAUUUUGCAGGACUUACCACAAUGUGUCAUAUGUGAGUAGUCGUCUGUCCCUCCCUUCCUCUCCACCCCAACUUUCAGUUUCGUAUCAGGAAAGUUUUUUGCUUUCCCAAGAAUGUAUACAAAACGUGGUUUCACAUCAAUGCCUGACUACCACAAUGAUGGGCGUUCUUGAAAUUCCCUGUGUCCUGUCCAUUCUUGGACAGUUCUGAGUGCUGAAUGCUUUCAUACAGUAGAUGUACAAUGUUGCUGAACUGUCAUGUUACUUAUGAUAUGUGUGUUUGUUGUAUAAGACACCAUGGAUAAAACGGUGCAAUUUCAUAAUCUUAAAAUGACCUCUUUGUGAUUAUAUGCAAACCACAGUGACGAAUUACUGCAUUAUCCAAGUUACCGUUGUUAGUUGUAGAUUUGCCAUAUAUAGAGGCUUCUAUUUAAAAAUUCAACAUUUUCUCAUUUACCACACACUGGUAUCAGCGAUGCCACAGUUAUUUCCUGUGUUAAGUGUCAACAAAGAAAAAGGGUAAUAAUGUAGUGAGGACCUUUUGCAUACAUAAGAUCUAAAAAGCCUGUCUAUUGUCUUAAUAUUUUAAAAAAUUCAAAACAUACAGUGUAGGUCUCUUUACACAAAUUAUAUCCUUAAGAAUAUAUUCAGUAAAAUCUAUCACUGAUUGUGAGUUGUCAAUUGCAAAGUCUAAGAAAUGCAAGAACUCUUCUUCCUGAAUGAACUUCUAAUGUUGGCAGUUCACUUAGUAGGCCAGAUCCUGAUGUGGUAAUUGAGUAUUCAGCACCUAUAGGUUGGGCUCUGUGUAGCUGACUGCUUAUCUGUAAGGAGUGCUGUGGUGGUGUAGUUGCGUUGGUCGCAGGAUACUAGAGAGACAAGGUGGGAGAGGUAAUAUAUUUUAUUGGACCAACAUCUGUCCACUCUGUCUCUGUCUGUAGGGAGGACAGAGUAAUAUAUAUGCUCUACAGAGUAAGUAUAAAACAAAACACUGAGCAGCUUGUAGAAAGGAAAAUUCUUUUGGUCAAAUUCAGCUGCUCUAAAGGAAUACAUUUUUCAAUGUAUUUUGUUCAGUAUAAAGGUAAAAUAAACUUGGUGGUAAUGUAGCUCCAUGGUUCAUAAAAUCACUUGUUGCAUAAAACAUAUGGCACCUGCUGAAAUGUUUCCCUUUGCCUCAAAGGGAAGAGACUAGUGUUUGUUUACUCACUUCAAUUUUCUUUUCUCAAAAUUAUCUUUUUAAUUCUGCAAAAUAGUGUAUUCUCUUGUAUUUGUAUACGGAUCCCUGUUGCUUCAAAAUUCAGGUCUAACACAGCAAGUUGUCUAAGCCAACAAUCUCCUAUUUAUAUUCGACCUGAAGGAGUAAAAUGGAGGGAACCACUUCACCAGACUUUUUCUUUUCUUUUUUUUUUUUUUUUAAUCACACAGGCAGAUGUUUUACUGGUGAUAAUGAAAGAAAAUGUAGCCAAACUACUUAGUUACAAAGAUUUUAGUAAAGAUUUUAAAAUGUUAACAUGUGAUUAGCAAUGAUUGCAGGUGUAUAUAAUCUCUUGCUAAUAUUAAAUUUUAAAGAUUUGUGAGAUUUUUUGUGUUGCAGUUGUGUUUGACUCUAGAGUUCUUGCAUGCUAACCUAAAGUAGAAGAUUAGCCUGUUUGCAUGCAGCUGGGUGCUGCUACUGAAGUGACAAGCAUGCUCAGUGAGAAUGACAUAACUUCCUUUGGCUGAAACCCCUUCCCAGUCCUGUCUGUGACCUCAUUUCCUGUGACAGACUGAAAAAACUCAUUGGUGAACGAGAAUCCUUGCUAGAACAG